rnacentral:rRNA from 1 species
UACGUAGGUGGCGAGCGUUGUCCGGAUUUAUUGGGCGUAAAGCGCGCGCAGGUGGUGCGAUAAGUCCUGUGUGAAAUCUCCCGGCUCAACUGGGAGGGAGCGGAGGAGACUGUCGGACUGGAGGCACUCAGAGGCCGGUGGAAUUCCCGGUGUAGUGGUGAAAUGCGUAGAUAUCAGGAGGAAUACCGAUGGCGAAGGCAGGUCUCUGGGCUGACACUGACGCUCAUGCACGAAAGCGUGGGGAGCAAACAGG